GGUCACUCAGGGGUCACUCAGAGGUCACUCAGGAUGGGUCAGUGGUCACUCAGUGGUCACUCAGGGGUCACUCAGGGGUCACUCAGAGGUCACUCAGGGGUCACUCAGGGGUCACUCGGGGGUCACUCAGGGGUCACUCAGGGGUCACUCAGUGGUCACUCAGGGGUCAGGGGUCACUCACGAUGGCCGCAGCACGGCGCAGGGCGUGGCGUUGCCCAGGGGGUCACCGGUCAGCGCGCACACGUAGCGGUCACUCGGGGGUCACUCAGGGGUCACACAGGGGUCACUCAGGGGUCACUCAGGGGUCAGUGGUCACUCAGUGGUCAGUGGUCACUCAGUGGUCACUCAGG